rnacentral:misc_RNA from 1 species
GUUUUCCUACAAUAUUCCCCAAUGAUCGUCGCAAGGCGAAAUGGGAACCUCACAUCGCCGCUAGAUGGGUACCGAGAGAACAGCAGAUUUUUAACCAAAAGCAGAACAACGUCGGCUAAGUACCCAGGGUAUAGCAGGCAAUCGGCUAGAGCUCAAACAUUUGCUUCAUGGCCGCUGAAAGAACAAGCCCGAAAAUUGUCUGAAGCAGGCUUCUUUUCUGCACGUAAGACGAUUAGUUACAAAGAAUAAAAUACAACUUUCACAAUAUGAAAUUUGUUGUUGGUUGUUUUUGAUUUUUUUUUUUCGUUUAUUACAGAGCUUGAUGAUUUAGUUCGCUGUUUUCAAUGUGGGGUAGGGUUGCGGAAUUGGGACCCCGAGGACGAGCCGUGGGUGGAGCAUGCUCGCUGGAUGCCCCUAUGUCCGUUUGUCGUGGCCAAUAACUCUAUGGAGUUUAUUGAACGUGUUCAGGAAGCUGUCCGUCAAAAUGAGAGCAAUGCUGUAAAUGCCACCACUGACAUGUCGGCAAAAGAUGACAGUGAGCAAGACUGUCCUCCAACAAACGCAAAGAAAGCACAUGAAGAAUACGAAUACCCAGAAUCCACUUAUGAGAAAAAUCCCCUGUUGACCAAUGCGGCCCAAAGCGUUUUGGAGUUCGGGUAUCUCCCUAAAACCAUCAAAGAGGCCAUAAACAACAUCAUUGGAAAUAUUGGAGGUUGGAAAAAUUUAACAGGAGCCUUAAUUAUGGAGGAGAUAUUUCGACUGGAAGACAAUGGAUAUUUGUUGUCUCAGAAACCUGUUAACAGGAAACAUAUGUCCAAUGAUGAAGUGAAGAAAGAAAACGAAUUAAUGAAAGAAGCGCAGAUGUGUAAAAUCUGUUGUGAGGAAAAGGUCUCUAUCGUUUUCUUGCCAUGUGGACACUUAGUGAGCUGUGCACAGUGUGCGCCUGCGCUGAAGAAAUGCCCAAUGUGUCGGAAACCCAUCAAGGGCUCUACAAAAGUCACUUUCGGAUCCUAAAUUGACAUGUUGUUAAAUUUUGUUACAAAGGGCCAUGUGCCACUAGUUUUCUUUAUUUUUUCAUGAGAAUUAAUGCAAUGACAUUGAUACAGUGUAUACGUAAUUCAGCAGCUAAACCCAAGAUGUGCCAAAUCAAAAGAUAAUUGCGAUGCAGUUACAUGUUUGUGUUUAUGAUGAGAAUGCACAUUAAAUUUGAUAAGUGAUAAAAUGUAAAAGCAUUGAAUAUACAUGUAAUUCAAGUGUUCUAGUCAAUUGCGAGUGAUCCUUAAGUUACCUUUAAAAUGAUAAUAUUAUAUAAUACCAAUAUUUGUAUCAGUUGAUGUUAAAACUAUUUUGUAACACUAACAAACUAGUAACGAUCGUGUACUCAGUGCUUGUGUAAUGAAAAUAGUAUAGAAUGUUGAAAUAAAAAUAUAAAUUCUUGUUAGAAUCUCCUUGAUUUGCAAACUUUGUAAAAUUAUUUAUUAGUUUUCAAUAGUAUCCCAUUGACAUAUCGCGGUAUAUAUAAGAGUUUGUUCAGAUUAGACGGAAUGAAACAGUGAGUACAAAUAUUGUAAAACUGCACAAAAAGAUUGUACUUACAUACCUGUAAAUGUGUUUAUUUAUGUACAUUGUGUAUGCUCAUACUGUAUGCGUGAAGUUAUGUAUUUGAUUUUAAGACAUUGAAUUUUGCAUUUUUUAAAAAGGUUGUAACAAUAGGUUGUAAGGAAAUCGUUGCGAUAAAAUAUUCUUUUACAUAAAUGAUUAUAAUAAAACUAAGCAUUAUUACAUG